rnacentral:rRNA from 1 species
UACGUAGGGUGCGAGCGUUGUCCGGAAUUAUUGGGCGUAAAGGGCUCGUAGGCGGUUUGUCGCGUCGGGGAGUGAAAACUCAGGGCUUAACCCUGAGCCUGCUUCCGAUACGGGCAGACUAGAGGUAUGCAGGGGAGAACGGAAUUCCUGGUGUAGCGGUGAAAUGCGCAGAUAUCAGGAGGAACACCGGUGGCGAAGGCGGAUCUCUGGGCCAUUACUGACGCUGGAGGAGCGAAAAGCGUGGGGGAGCGAACAGG